CCUACGGGUGGCUGCAGUGGGGAAUAUUGGACAAUGGGGGCAACCCUGAUCCAGCCAUGCCGCGUGUGUGAAGAAGGCCCUCGGGUUGUAAAGCACUUUCAGUGAGGAAGAACGCCUGGUGGUUAAUACCCAUCAGGAAAGACAUCACUCACAGAAGAAGCACCGGCUAACUCCGUGCCAGCAGCCGCGGUAAUACGGAGGGUGCGAGUGUUAAUCGGAAUUACUGGGCGUAAAGCGCGCGUAGGUGGCUUGAUAAGCCGGUUGUGAAAGCCCCGGGCUCAACCUGGGAACGGCAUCCGGAACUGUCAAGCUAGAGUGCAGGAGAGGAAGGUAGAAUUCCCGGUGUAGCGGUGAAAUGCGUAGAGAUCGGGAGGAAUACCAGUGGCGAAGGCGGCCUUCUGGACUGACACUGACACUGAGGUGCGAAAGCGUGGGUAGCAAACAGGAUUAGAUACCCGAGUAGUC
rnacentral:rRNA from 1 species